rnacentral:rRNA from 1 species
UACAGAGGUCUCAAGCGUUGUUCGGAUUCAUUGGGCGUAAAGGGUGCGUAGGCGGCGCGGUAAGUCGGGUGUGAAAUCUCGGAGCUUAACUCCGAAACUGCAUUCGAUACUGCCGUGCUUGAGGACUGGAGAGGAGGGUGGAAUUCCUGGUGUAGCGGUGAAAUGCGUAGAGAUCAGGAGGAACACCCGUGGCGAAGGCGGCCCUCUGGCUCGACCCUGACGCUGAGAGGCGAAAGCGUGGGGAGCGAACGGG